UAAAUUAAGGAAAUGGAACAGCAGCAGUGAAAAAGCUGUAUAUCACUCCUUUGCAGGUAAAACUGCAAUAUUUGAAAAAAAUACUUUUUUUUAAUGAAAAAAAAAAUGCAGACUCUCACAAUUGGCACCUAAAGAGGUAAUUUGUUUUUGCUGGAGCUGAAACCUAUCACUAUUUGAUGUCCAUUCCAAGCUUUUUGUAAACUUCAAAAGAUAGUUUUUUUUUUUUUUCGUUCUCUUCGCUACUUGAAACAAUGCUUGGUCAUAAUAGAAAUUAUCAUGCAAAAGAUCUAAUAGCGUCAUAGUUAUCUGGAAAGUACUCGUGCGAGUUUGCUUUUUGUUCGUAAUAUUUGAUCGCUUCAACGUUACACGAAAAGUUUUGGUCCAUCAUACAGAUGAAGCUUAGUUGGAAGGUGUAUUGAAAGCCAUGGCCAUUGGCGUGACAGAAACCUGUUAUCCUAUCACCGCAUGAUGGGUGGAGACGCAUCAGGUACUGGCCGCUUUACUCUUGCCGUAAUGUAGAGCUUAGAAUAAGUAGAAAGAACGCAUAAUGAAUACUUCUCGCGACCUCAGUUUCAAAUUUUCGCGCCAUUUCAUGUUGCACCAUAAAAACAAUGAGAACUGGUGACGUCUCCUGGGGCUUAUAUAAAAAUGCCGCCUUAUGAAAGAACUCCACACGGUAAGUGUUAUCAUUUUUUGUUCAAUUCGAACAUUGUUGUUUUCGUUUCUAGAGGCUAGUGCAAUAUCAGCCCGUACUCUCCAAAUACUGGCAGAAAAUUAAAACCUAUCCUAUCACUCUGGCAAUCCGAACUCUUCUUCUGCGGCCGAGUUUCAAAGCCAUUUUAGUCCGGAUCCAUUAUCUGCGAACUGUUUAUUCUUUACUAGGUCCUGACUUCGACCUGCUCCAGCACGUUCCCUUGUUCAUGCGCGUCCGUAUUGCGUGUCCGAAAAAGUGACCGUAUCGGAACGAUGUCUCUACAAAACGAGCACGCCACGGAUGUUCUAAUCUACAUGUCUAAACAAAUAGAAGUUGGUCAUGUAUUUUCAUUGAAAGCGCACUGUAAAUUAUCGAAAUACAAAAUACCGCACACUAGAGGUGGAGUUUGCUCCCGUUAAACAUGGCGUAGAGACCGAUUUUUAGCUAAAACGUUUUUAGUUCUCAUAAUGUAUGAGAAUGAAAUCGGUCAACAGAUUACUUCUAAUAAGGCAAGCAACAGCGAUGGCUAAUCUCUACGCUAUCGACGCUCUGCAGUUAUUGCAAAAAAGAUAAAUACAUGUAUUUCUAAAUUGAGCGUCGUGACAUCGUAACUCUAGGACUUCACAGAAGUUUGAAGCAUUCAUUAUUAAGUAUGAAUGUGAACUGUGGAAACGGAAGUCCUUAGAAUGUUUAGUAGGACAUAUCAUUGAUAGAUUUAUUUACACUGAUGUAACUCAGAUGUUUGCCAUCAUAGCCACUAAAUUAAGCAAGCUUCCAAUGAAUUUGGGUACAGGACUGGUUUAUCGGGAACUGAGAAUAUUUUUGACAAUGAAAAACAUCAUUUAAUCUACCUCUUUGUUUGCAUUCACAUUGUUCUUGUUACCAAUCGCAUGUCACUUGACCAAAACAGCUUUAUCAGUAAAACAGAAUCGGCAGCGCACGUAGUUUCCUAAUCAGCUAAUGCCCUUCUUGCGGAAUAUAUAGCAUCAUUUCUCCAACUACGAAUAGCGGUAAUAAUAAUGGUCUAACUAAAUAUGGGAAUAAAUAUCAGCGUUUUGAUUGAAGCCUAUUAAAAGUUUCUAAGUUCACGGAGAUUAUCGAGAUUUGUUAACCUCAAUAAUAAACAAUCGCUAUACGAUUGCUGGCCUUGUCGACUGGAUUAUGAGAGAAACUCCGCUCCAAAAUCGGGGAGACUCACAAAUGCAGAUCUUAAUUCAUGGCUUAACGUAUAGCAUGCACCUUAGAUAGUUACUAUUUAGCUUACACAUUUUUAUGAGUUAUAAGACCCUGUUAUGGGCUUGAUACCGAAAAAUAGAUACAUUUAAGGUACAAAGACCUCUUAUAUAUAAGUGAGCUAUACUAAUAUAGGUUGCACUGUGUUACUAUGUGACGCUUGUCACUAUAAUAAUAAUAAUGUUGUUUUGAUUAACGACAGUCGACCAAUAGAGAAAUAAGGCCAUCUCUGGUUUUUAAGCUAAAAUUUGGAAUUUUCACGAAGAAGUCUUCAACGGUCUCAACUCUGAUCUGACAUGAGUGCCAGUGGACGAUAAACACUACGGCAGUCGUACAAAAGCUACGAAUUCUAAAACUAUUAUACAUUAGGGUUAUAGGAUUAAACGGUAUGUUAUGAAUGCUAUAAUCGGGAUGAGUUUUUAAGUUUACUAAGAGAUGAAAUUACUUAAAGCUUAACCAAAGUCAAUCUUUACGAUACAUUCAGUAUCGUUAAGAAAGGACCCAAGCGAUACAUGGAAAAAGAAUGGCACCACUGAAAAUGAAUAUUCCUUAACUAGGGACAAUGCUACGAUACUUAAUCAUAUUUCAGGCUAUUCUUCAUGUUCGGUCUGAGGCGCCACCAACGGGUGAAGUCAGUGGCCAAACAGAUGUGCAUUGCGACUAGCUCUGGCUUUUAAAGAAAUUUAAUAUAUUUUAUGUGUAUUUCAGUGUUUUGACCCUGGAAGUGAGUAUGUGAAACUCUUCCUUUUUAUGCACAUGCUUGCAGUCAUAAUUCAGACUGAAGUUUUCUUUCUACGCAGAUCUCAUUACAAUUUCCAUAUGCCAUAUGCUGCUAGACUUCGGGACAAGGGCUACAAGUAAUUACUAAAUAGCGAAAAUAAUUGUUAACCAUUACAAAAAUAAGUAGAAGUUGUAUUUUGAAAUCCAGUCGCCAACUUGAAAUAGAACUAAUAAAUGCAUUAAUAAUAGUUUCAUUAUACAGACAAGCUUUAAUUUUUUUUUCUGAGUACGUUUAAGGUGGCUUUCGAAUGUGUUUGCCAAAAUAGAUAUAUUCGUAAAUUAAAAACAAAGCUAUUUGUUGUAACUAGAUUCUAUAAAAAAAAAAUAGGAUCUCAACAAUUCAUGCGGCUUCAAUAUUUAUAGGUAAGAUAUACUUGUCUCAGCGGUGAUUCUACCAAGAAGGAUGUUAUACCACGGAUUUUUGAACUAAACGCGUAAUAAUAUUCUGCGAUGCAAAUCGUCGUUAUAUUAUCAUCAUAUUAUCCUAACUUCAUUCAGCUGUCGUAAGCAUCGAAAGGCUUUCCGCAUCAAAUAGGCUUAGCAUUGGGAACAUGGCUGCACAGGAAGAAUCGUGGUCCUCAAGCUACACCGGUGCCGGUGGCGAGGAGUCUAUACUGA